UGGCCAUUCCAAGCUUCUCCCAUUCUCCAUUAUUCUCAGAUUAUCUGGGCUUGCAAAGCAUGUGUUCGUCCAUGUCCCGUAGCAGUGCGACACCACCGCCAUCUCAUCACACGAGCAACCAGAUGCCGCCACUCCUGCUCAUCCGUUGCCCCGAAUGCAACGCCGGCUACGUCAUGUGGUUUGUCUCCGGGACAGAACUAAACCCAGGGAGGCACUUCUACAAGUGCGACCGGCAUGGGCAUGGAGGGUGCAAGUUUUGGAAGUGGGAGAACAAGUACAUACAGUACUUAAGCCAGCGGUGGGGACAUCUGAUUUCGCACGCGUCGGUUCAUCACCACGUCGCGUUGCUCGAGUAGAACCAUGCAUUCCUGAAGAACAUAUUGAUGCUGUGCCUCGCGAAUUUGGUGGUCAUGGUCACUAUCUUCCUCCUCAAGUUCUGAAGCACCACCCCGUCCUGCGUACGUAGUGUCGUACACAUACAUGCCUUCGUGUUGCUGCCGCUCAGUGGAGUUUGAUGUACCCACUGCAUUGCCAUGGCCAUGAACAGGGCAAUGUCGUAGUCACACAUGGGCUGUAUCCCCUCUGCGUAGGGAAUGCCGUUUCCUUUUCGUAUGUUACAGUAUCUCUAGCGAUCUGCAUGUAUCAGUUAGUACAUCCAGCUUGCCCAUGCAAGGGCGGGAGCUGCUAAGUGCAAUUAAUUAUGUACCCCCCGCCGUCGUAAUUAGACUGUCUCUAAUCAAGAAACAGAUGCAAACACGUAUUUUUUGUAA